rnacentral:rRNA from 1 species
CGCGGCCUAUCAGCUUGUUGGUGGGGUGAUGGCCUACCAAGGCGACGACGGGUAGCCGGCCUGAGAGGGUGACCGGCCACACUGGGACUGAGAUACGGCCCAGACUCCUACGGGAGGCAGCAGUGGGGAAUAUUGCACAAUGGGCGCAAGCCUGAUGCAGCGACGCCGCGUGAGGGAUGACGGCCUUCGGGUUGUAAACCUCUUUCAGCACAGACGAAGCGCAAGUGACGGUAUGUGCAGAAGAAGGACCGGCCAACUACGUGCCAGCAGCCGCGGUAAUACGUAGGGUCCGAGCGUUGUCCGGAAUUACUGGGCGUAAAGAGCUCGUAGGUGGUUUGUCGCGUUGUCCGUGAAAUCCCACGGCUUAACUGUGGGCGUGCGGGCGAUACGGGCAGACUGGAGUACUGCAGGGGAGACUGGAAUUCCUGGUGUAGCGGUGGAAUGCGCAGAUAUCAGGAGGAACACCGGUGGCGAAGGCGGGUCUCUGGGCAGUAACUGACGCUGAGGAGCGAAAGCGUGGGGAGCGAACAGGAUUAGAUACCCUGGUAGUCCACGCCGUAAACGGUGGGUACUAGGUGUGGGUUUCCUUCCUUGGGAUCCGUGCCGUAGCUAACGCAUUAAGUACCCCGCCUGGGGAGUACGG